GCGUUCGGCUCUAUACUGCAGUCGAGCGGACAGAAGGGAGCUUGCUCCCGGAUGUUAGCGGCGGACGGGUGAGUAACACGUGGGUAACCUGCCUGUAAGACUGGGAUAACUCCGGGAAACCGGAGCUAAUACCGGAUAGUUCCUUGAACCGCAUGGUUCAAGGAUGAAAGACGGUUUCGGCUGUCACUUACAGAUGGACCCGCGGCGCAUUAGCUAGUUGGUGGGGUAAUGGCUCACCAAGGCGACGAUGCGUAGCCGACCUGAGAGGGUGAUCGGCCACACUGGGACUGAGACACGGCCCAGACUCCUACGGGAGGCAGCAGUAGGGAAUCUUCCGCAAUGGACGAAAGUCUGACGGAGCAACGCCGCGUGAGUGAUGAAGGUUUUCGGAUCGUAAAGCUCUGUUGUUAGGGAAGAACAAGUGCGAGAGUAACUGCUCGCACCUUGACGGUACCUAACCAGAAAGCCACGGCUAACUACGUGCCAGCAGCCGCGGUAAUACGUAGGUGGCAAGCGUUGUCCGGAAUUAUUGGGCGUAAAGGGCUCGCAGGCGGUUUCUUAAGUCUGAUGUGAAAGCCCCCGGCUCAACCGGGGAGGGUCAUUGGAAACUGGGAAACUUGAGUGCAGAAGAGGAGAGUGGAAUUCCACGUGUAGCGGUGAAAUGCGUAGAGAUGUGGAGGAACACCAGUGGCGAAGGCGACUCUCUGGUCUGUAACUGACGCUGAGGAGCGAAAGCGUGGGGAGCGAACAGGAUUAG
rnacentral:rRNA from 1 species